rnacentral:rRNA from 1 species
AACGGGGGGAGCGAGCGUUAUUCAUCUUUACUGGGCGUAAAGGGUGCGUAGGUUGUUUUUUAAGUCUAAGGUAAAAAAUCUAAGCGAAACUUAGAAAUUAUUUUAGAUACUAUUAAACUCUGAGGAUAUUAGAAGUUUGUUGUAUUCUCGAUGUAAAGGUGAAAUUUCAAGAUAUCGGGAGGACGUUCAAAAGGCAAAGGCAACUUACUAGAAUAUUCUGACACUGAAGUACGAAAGCAUAGGUAUCAAAUGGG